rnacentral:rRNA from 1 species
ACCAGCACGUUAUGGUGGCACUCUAAGGAGACUGCCGGUGACAACCGGAGGAAGUGGGGAUGACGUCAAGUCAUCAUGGCCCUUACGGCCUGGGCUACACACGUGCUACAAUGGUCGGUACAAAGGGUUGCCAAGCCGCGAGGUGGAGCUAAUCCCAUAAAACCGAUCGUAGUCCGGAUCGCAGUCUGCAACUCGACUGCGUGAAGUCGGAAUCGCUAGUAAUCGUGAAUCAGAAUGUCACGGUGAAUACGUUCCCGGGCCUU